GACGAACGCUGGCGGCGUGCUUAACACAUGCAAGUCGAACGAAGUGGCGAACGGGUGAGUAACGCGUAAUCAACCUGCCCUUCAGAGGGGGACAACAGUUGGAAACGACUGCUAAUACCGCAUACUGAAGGAGGGGAUUGCGUCUGAUUAGCUAGUUGGAGGGGUAACGGGCCACCAAGGCGAUGAUCAGUAGCCUGUUGGAUAGUAUGACAGGCCACAUGUGUACUGAGUCUCUGCCCAGAUUCCUACGGGAGGCAGCAGUGGGGAAUCUUCCGCCAUGGACGAAUGUCUGCGGGAGCAACGCAGCGUGAGUGAUGACGUCCUUCGGGUUGUAAAGCUCUGUUAAUCGGGACGCGGUACCGGAAUAGAAAGCCACGGCUAACUACGUGCCAGCCGCCGCGGUAAUAC
rnacentral:rRNA from 1 species